UAUAAUCUAUACCACUGCCACGUCUGCCAGUAUGCCCAACUUAAGAUGACUCCACCAGAUGCACCAAAGCAAGAUAGAAAUGUAAGUUCAACGAUUCUGCCGUGCUCUCACCUACCCACCUCCGCUACUAAAGGAGGAACUUUGCCUGGCUACGAUUCACCAUCAAAUUUGAAUGCAGCCAGAAGGGAACUGGCAACUCAUCUUAUGAAGAAAAUUCCAGAGGUCUCCUGCACUUGUGUCACUUCAAGUUCAAGAU
rnacentral:lncRNA from 1 species